GUGCAGCUCAGUAUCUCAUGCCGUGGCAGUCGAGACGUAUUCCUAAAACCCACCCGUGCGGCAAAUCCGACUCGUCAGCGCCUCACUUGGGCUGGCUUUCACGGUCUGCCUCUCCUCUGUCCACGUGCAGGCGCGGAGGUUUGCCUGAGGACUAAGCGCGCUGCGUUCCUCCUCGUGCCCGGGGCGAGGCCGAGGCUGACACCCAGUUCCUGGCGUCGAGCGCGGCUAGUUUUUCCUGCGGACCUUGGGGCAGGGUGGGUUGAGGCAGCCUGGAGGUGGCGACACCGCUGAUUUGGCCGCUGUGCUUAAUCAGCCCGGGCCACGUGGUGGGACUUGUCACAGGCUCCUGUCUGCCAUCCUCCGAUAAGGCCCUGCUGGUGGCCAGGGAUUUCCAAAUCGGCAGGAUGUAGUAGUCACUUUUUUAGUUUCGUGUUCUCGCUAAUUAGAAACUGCUUGUCACGCAAGCAAGCGUGAGCUCGCUCCAGCCUGGUGCCCCGAACGGAUGCGCCGAGGAGGAACCUCGAUUCCUCUGCGUCGCACCUGCGUCAUGGUGCCAUGACGGGCCGCCGUCCUCCGCAGGGAGCUCUGAAACCUGCGGAGACGGCGGAAUCCGUUUACACCUAAUGCUGCUUUUUCCCUUUUAUGGGGCGCGGGCCUGGCACAGCGGCGCUGCUUUGGGAGAGGGGACAUGGCAGCGUGGCCUCCUAGAGGGGAGAACGGUUCGGCUCUUCUGGAGCUCGGCUCGGCACGUCGGAUGGCAAGCGGUUGCUGGAAAGCUUUUCAGCAACGCGUGCCGUGUAAAGCCGAGCUUUGCAGUGAAACUGAGCCUUUCUCGGCCGUUGCCUCGCUGACGCUAUCUCUGGCUGCGGAGCCAGGCGCUAUCGCGCGGGAUGGGAGCACCCGAGCUAUAAACCGCUCCCGUUUCUCCAUUGAGUUCCGGCUUAUCUGUCUUUCUGCGUUUGGAACUGCCUCCUCCUUUUCCGUGACACCCUGCACGGCCGCAGCCGGGGCGCCGGGUGUGGGGCCGCAGCGGGGCGCCG
rnacentral:lncRNA from 1 species